rnacentral:rRNA from 1 species
GACAGAGGGUGCAAACGUUGUUCGGAUUUACUGGGCGUAAAGGGCGCGUAGGCGGCGCGGUAAGUCACUUGUGAAAUCUCUGAGCUUAACUCAGAACGGCCAAGUGAUACUGCAGUGCUAGAGUGUGGAAGGGGCAAUCGGAAUUCUUGGUGUAGCGGUGAAAUGCGUAGAUAUCAAGAGGAACACCUGAGGUGAAGACGGGUUGCUGGGCCAACACUGACGCUGAGGCGCGAAAGCCAGGGGAGCAAACGGG